GAUGAACGCUAGCGGGAGGCUUAAUACAUGCAAGUCGAACGGUAACAGAUGGAGCUUGCUCCAUGCUGACGAGUGGCGGACGGGUGAGUAACACGUGGAAAUCUACCCAGUAGCGGGGGAUAAGUCAGAGAAAUUUGAUCUAAUACCGCAUACGUCCUACGGGAGAAAGGCUUCGGCCACUAUUGGAUGAGUCCGCGUUAGAUUAGCUAGAUGGUGAGGUAAAGGCUCACCAUGGCGACGAUCUAUAGCUGGUCUGAGAGGAUGAUCAGCCACAUUGGGACUGAGACACGGCCCAGACUCCUACGGGAGGCAGCAGUCGGGAAUAUUGGACAAUGGGCGAAAGCCUGAUCCAGCAAUACCGCGUGUGUGAAGAAGGCCUUCGGGUUGUAAAGCACUUUUAUGUAGGAAGAAGGUAUGUAUGUUAAUAGCAUAUGUAAUUGACGGUACUACAAGAAUAAGCACCGGCUAACUCCG
rnacentral:rRNA from 1 species